GGGCCAUAGCUCAGUGGUAGGGCACCUGCUUUGCAUGCAGAAGGUCCUAGGUUCAAAACCCAGCAUCUCCA